rnacentral:lncRNA from 1 species
AGCCCGCGAGAUGUGUUUUGAACUUGUUUAAAUGUCUUAGAUAACUUAAAACUUGGAUGUUCGAUGUUUGUUGCUUAAAGUGUCUUGGUUUAGAGUUUAGACUAUUAGAAUAUUAAGUAUUAAUAUGUAAAAAAGAAAUAUUUGGAUAACUGAGUCUUUUUAGUAUUAUUAAGAAAACUAUUCUUUUUUUAAAUAAACAUGUCUAGAACUUAAAACAUAUUUAGCACAUGUUUUAAAAAAGUUAUUUAAAAACUUCAUUAAUUUAAAACGUGAGUCCGUUAUAUACUACAAUAAAUUAGACACCUAAAAC